UACGUAGGGUGCAAGCGUUAAUCGGAAUUACUGGGCGUAAAGCGUGCGCAGGCGGUGAUGUAAGACAGUUGUGAAAUCCCCGGGCUCAACCUGGGAACUGCAUCUGUGACUGCAUUGCUGGAGUGCGGCAGAGGGGGAUGGAAUUCCGCGUGUAGCAGUGAAAUGCGUAGAUAUGUGGAGGAAUACCGAUGGCGAAGGCAGCCUCCUGGGCCAACACUGACGCUCAUGCACGAAAGCGUGGGGAGCAAACAGG
rnacentral:rRNA from 1 species